rnacentral:rRNA from 1 species
CUAUCUACAGGCUUAACACAUGCAAGUCGAGGGGCAUCAGGAAGAAAGCUUGCUUUCUUUGCUGGCGACCGGCGCACGGGUGAGUAACACGUAUCCAACCUGCCCUUUACUCGGGGAUAGCCUUUCGAAAGAAAGAUUAAUACCCGAUAGCAUAAUGAUUCCGCAUGGUUUCAUUAUUAAAGGAUUCCGGUAAAGGAUGGGGAUGCGUUCCAUUAGGUUGUUGGUGAGGUAACGGCUCACCAAGCCUUCGAUGGAUAGGGGUUCUGAGAGGAAGGUCCCCCACAUUGGAACUGAGACACGGUCCAAACUCCUACGGGAGGCAGCAGUGAGGAAUAUUGGUCAAUGGGCGGUAGCCUGAACCAGCCAAGUAGCGUGAAGGAUGAAGGCUCUAUGGGUCGUAAACUUCUUUUAUAUAAGAAUAAAGUGCAGUAUGUAUACUGUUUUGUAUGUAUUAUAUGAAUAAGGAUCGGCUAACUCCGUGCCAGCAGCCGCGGUAAUACGGAGGAUCCGAGCGUUAUCCGGAUUUAUUGGGUUUAAAGGGAGCGUAGGUGGACUGGUAAGUCAGUUGUGAAAGUUUGCGGCUCAACCGUAAAAUUGCAGUUGAUACUGUCAGUCUUGAGUACAGUAGAGGUGGGCGGAAUUCGUGGUGUAGCGGUGAAAUGCUUAGAUAUCACGAAGAACUCCGAUUGCGAAGGCAGCUCACUGGACUGCAACUGACACUGAUGCUCGAAAGUGUGGGUAUCAAACAGGAUUAGAUACCCUGGUAGUCCACACAGUAAACGAUGAAUACUCGCUGUUUGCGAUAUACAGUAAGCGGCCAAGCGAAAGCAUUAAGUAUUCCACCUGGGGAGUACGCCGGCAACGGUGAAACUCAAAGGAAUUGACGGGGGCCCGCACAAGCGGAGGAACAUGUGGUUUAAUUCGAUGAUACGCGAGGAACCUUACCCGGGCUUAAAUUGCAGUGGAAUGAUGUGGAAACAUGUCAGUGAGCAAUCACCGCUGUGAAGGUGCUGCAUGGUUGUCGUCAGCUCGUGCCGUGAGGUGUCGGCUUAAGUGCCAUAACGAGCGCAACCCUUAUCUUUAGUUACUAACAGGUCAUGCUGAGGACUCUAGAGAGACUGCCGUCGUAAGAUGUGAGGAAGGUGGGGAUGACGUCAAAUCAGCACGGCCCUUACGUCCGGGGCUACACACGUGUUACAAUGGGGGGUACAGAAGGCAGCUAGCGGGUGACCGUAUGCUAAUCCCAAAAGCCUCUCUCAGUUCGGAUCGAAGUCUGCAACCCGACUUCGUGAAGCUGGAUUCGCUAGUAAUCGCGCAUCAGCCACGGCGCGGUGAAUACGUUCCCGGGCCUUGUACACACCGCCCGUCAAGCCAUGGGAGCCGGGGGUACCUGAAGUACGUAACCGCAAGGAUCGUCCUAGGGUAAAACUGGUGACUGG